rnacentral:lncRNA from 1 species
UCCACCAUAUAACAACGUACUUUGUUGCAGAGUAUGAUUUAGACUUUUCUGAUGCGCAAAAAUAGUAACUUCAAAUGCUGGGUAAAAAUUAAGGCGUGAUAUAUCUCAUAAAAGAAAGCUUCAUAAGAGGUAGUAAGUUUUAGUUACUGGUGAUUUUCUAGCAGACUGGAAUGUUGACCAUUCUUUGGGAAAGGAAUCAGAGGUUUUUUGUUGGGUUUUUUUGUUUUUUGAAAUGGAGUCUCGCUUUGUUGUUCAGGCUGAAGUGCAGUGGCGCAGUCUUCACUCACUGCAAACUCUGCCUCCCCAGUUCAAGUGAUUCUCCUGCCUCAGCUUCCCGAGUAGCUAGGACUACAGGCACACACCACCACACCCGGCCAAUUUUUGUAAUUUUAGUAGAGACAGGGUUUCACCAUAUUGGUCAGGCUGGUCUCGAACUCCUGACCUCAGGUGAUUACAGGCUUGAGCCACUGCACCUGGCCUGUUGUGGGGUUUUGUGGUUUGGUUUGGUUUGGUGUUUUCUGAUUACAGCAGCUUUCUCUUUAUUCUCAGUUUUGCACAGUAAUAAGUUGACUCACACAGACUUAAAGCCUGAAAACAUCUUAUUUGUGCAGUCUGACUACACAGAGGCGUAUAAUCCCAAAAUAGUAAGUCUUCCAAAAUAUUCAUAAAGUGAGUAUCUUAUGCCUUAAUAGCUUAUGCCUUCUUAACCAUCAUUUAUGAUUUUCAGAAACGUGAUGAACGCACCUUAAUAAAUCCAGAUAUUAAAGUUGUAGACUUUGGUAGUGCAACAUAUGAUGACGAACAUCACAGUACGUUGGUAUCUACAAGACAUUAUAGAGCACCUGAAGUUAUUUUAGCCCUAGGGUGGUCCCAACCAUGUGAUGUCUGGAGCAUAGGAUGCAUUCUUAUUGAAUACUAUCUUGGGUUUACCGUAUUUCCAACACACGAUAGUAAGGAGCAUUUAGCAAUGAUGGAAAGGAUUCUUGGACCUCUACCAAAACAUAUGAUACAGAAAACCAGGAAACGUAAAUAUUUUCACCAUGAUCGAUUAGACUGGGAUGAACACAGUUCUGCCGGCAGAUAUGUUUCAAGACGCUGUAAACCUCUGAAGGAAUUUAUGCUUUCUCAAGAUGUUGAACAUGAGCGUCUCUUUGACCUCAUUCAGAAAAUGUUGGAGUAUGAUCCAGCCAAAAGAAUUACUCUCAGAGAAGCCUUAAAGCAUCCUUUCUUUGACCUUCUGAAGAAAAGUAUAUAGAUCUGUAAUUGGACAGCUCUCUCGAAGAGAUCUUACAGACUGUAUCAGUCUAAUUUUUAAAUUUUAAGUUAUUUUGUACAGCUUUGUAAAUUCUUAACAUUUUUAUAUUGCCAUGUUUAUUUUGUUUGGGUAAUUUGGUUCGUUAAGUACAUAGCUAAGGUAAUGAACA